CUCUGUCACCGGUUAUUUUGUAUUUCGGAGCGUUUGAAGGCUUUGUUCUUUCUCCCUUCCUUGCCUUGGGCCGACAAGGAAAUGGAGACCUCAAGAGUUAAACGGGCCUGUUGUCACCAGCUGGGAAGAUGCAGCAUUAAGUAACUCCAACUUAGAACCUGUAACCUCUAUAACCUUCAAAAAAACAAGUAAAAUGAAAAUUAAUAACUGUUCCCUGGUGUGCUAUGAACCAUUAAUUGUACAGACUGAAAAGCUUCAGCCUAAUAAGAAACAUGCCUCCAGCAGAAAUCUCCCUACCGCUGUGCAUCCUGGAGGCAGCAUCUCAUGGCUCUGGUCCUCAGACCUGCCAGCCACGAGAAACACCUGCAGUGAGCUCCAGGCCUCUG